CAGUGUUGGAGGGCGUUUUUAAGUAUAGAGCGGUUUUCAAGGAUACACAUUAGAAUGAACAACGAUCAUAGGGAUAGGAAACACUGCGAGGGACGAUUGUGCGGGUGAUCGGGUUUCUCCUCUGGGCCAUCAGCUGAAUAGGUGGGGCUUGAUCAAUGGCAGGAAACUGAAGGAUCAAAUGUCAUAAAAUGGUGCCAGGCUGCGACAUGAAGGCAGGGGCCAUGAAACCGUACCCUCAUCAUCAGACUGUACAGUAGAGAGACAGAGUCACACUCCCGGUGUAAGCAGGGCAUAAAAACACUGCUGCAUGAUAAGGAGGUGCACAGGGACUUUGAACAUUUUAUUAGUAUCUAUAAAAGAGGCACAGGACGAAGGACACAGUGUCUAUAAAGCACUAAUGGAGGAUCAAUUAAGAUGGUCAAGCUGCAGAAAGAGACUUUUACAGUGUAGGGUUUUAACACUAACCUUGUCCUUUAACACUAACGCUAAAACCACAAGGCUGGGAAAUUGAGCAGUUGUAAUUCAAUUCCAAUGCAUCACCAAUAUCUUAUGAUCUGUAACAGUAAAAAAAUAUAUAUAUAGUUGAUAAGAUAUUUAUAAAAUAUGGUAUAUUUGUUUGUAUAAGAAUAUAAAAGCGAGCGGUGAAGGAGAAUUCCUACAGAAUAAAGAUGACACAAUAUGCUGCUUUUACACACACACACACACACACGGUUGGGUUUCCAUGUUUUAUGGGGACUUUCCAUAGACAAUGGUCUUUUAUACUGUACAAACUGUAUACAGUAUUCUAUUCCCUAACUGUAUACACCCUAACAGAAAACUUUCUGCAUUUUUACAAUGCAAAUAAAAACUGUACAUUUACUUUA